rnacentral:rRNA from 1 species
UACGGAGGAUCCAAGCGUUAUCCGGAUUCACUGGGUUUAAAGGGUGUGUAGGCGGGGCAUUAAGUCAGUGGUGAAAUCCUGUCGCUUAACGACAGAACUGCCAUUGAAACUGAUGCUCUUGAAUGCAGUUGAGGUAAGCGGAAUGUGUGGUGUAGCGGUGAAAUGCUUAGAUAUCACACAGAACACCGAUUGCGAAGGCAGCUUGCUAAGCUGUGAUUGACGCUGAGACACGAAAGCGUGGGGAU